AUCCAGUUGACGAGUCUCAAAUAAGACGAAACGCGCGUCGAACUAGAU
rnacentral:hammerhead_ribozyme from 1 species